UGGGGAAUUUUGCACAAUGGGGGAAACCCUGAUGCAGCGACGCCGCGUGAUUUAGAAGGCCUUCGGGUUGUAAAAUUCUUUUCUAUGGGAAGAAAAUGACAGUACCAUAGGAAUAAGGACCGGCUAAUUACGUGCCAGCAGCCGCGGUAAUACGUAAGGUCCGAGCGUUGUCCGGAAUCAUUGGGCGUAAAGGGUACGUAGGCGGGUAAGCAAGUUAGAAGUGAUAUCCUAUAGCUCAACUAUAGUAAGCUUUUAAAACUGCUCAUCUUGAGGUAUGGAAGGGAAAGUGGAAUUCCUAGUGUAGCGGUGAAAUGCGCAGAUAUUAGGAGGAAUACCGGUGGCGAAGGCGACUUUCUGGCCAUAACCUGACGCUGAGGUACGAAAGCGUGGGUAGCAAACAGG
rnacentral:rRNA from 1 species